UGAGUAAUACCUAGGAAUCUGCCUGGUAGUGGGGGAUAACGUUCGGAAACGGACGCUAAUACCGCAUACGUCCUACGGGAGAAAGCAGGGGACCUUCGGGCCUUGCGCUAUCAGAUGAGCCUAGGUCGGAUUAGCUAGUUGGUGAGGUAAUGGCUCACCAAGGCUACGAUCCGUAACUGGUCUGAGAGGAUGAUCAGUCACACUGGAACUGAGACACGGUCCAGACUCCUACGGGAGGCAGCAGUGGGGAAUAUUGGACAAUGGGCGAAAGCCUGAUCCACCCAUNCCGCGUGUGUGAAGAAGGUCUUCGGAUUGUAAAGCACUUUAAGUUGGGAGGAAGGGCAUUAACCUAA
rnacentral:rRNA from 1 species